GAACAGGAUCCGGCCCGGGAACUCAAAGGAGACUGCCAGUGAUAAACUGGAGGAAGGUGGGGAAGACGUCAAGUCAUCAUGGCCCUUACGACCAGGGCUACACACGUGCUACAAUGGCGCAUACAAAGAGAAGCGACCUCGCGAGAGCAAGCGGACCUCAUAAAGUGCGUCGUAGUCCGGAUUGGAGUCUGCAACUCGACUCCAUGAAGUCGGAAUCGCUAGUAAUCGUGGAUCAGAAUGCCACGGUGAAUACGUUCCCGGGCCUUGUACACACCGCCCGUCACACCAUGGGAGUGGGUUGCAAAAGAAGUAGGUAGCUUAACCUUCGGGAGGGCGCUACCACUUUGAUCAUGUUCCG
rnacentral:rRNA from 1 species